UCCAAGAUUGCCUAGAUGCCAUUUAAGGAAAGUGUCUCCAAUUGUUCAAGAUUUGUGCAAAAAACAUAAUUUGCCAUAUAGGAGUCUGUCAUUUUAUGAGGCUAAUGUGUGGACAAUAAGGACUCUUAAAACAGCAGCAAUGCAAGCCAGGGGUCUGCUUUGGGAAGCUGUUAAUACUCAUGGCUAAAAUCUGGAGUUGGAGAAUGUUUGUAGUAUAAAGUACUAUGUUUUAAAGUAAUGUGUCUAUUUUAAUUUAUGUUGUUGGAGUGAAGCAGGGAGAAGAUGAUUGUUGUUUCUUUGUACUUUGCAUUUUUAGCUAUGUUGAUAUGGGAUUUUGUUUUAAGCACCUCCUUAGAUCUGCUUCAGCAUAUAUGCAAAAUGAAUUUGGUUCAUUUGUUUUUAUUAGUUGGACAUAUAGUUUAUUUUGGUAUUAUAAUAUAUGAUAGUCUCUAUCUCCUCUAAGACGUGUUUUAUCUUUUCUUGUUCAUAUAUUAGAAU
rnacentral:lncRNA from 1 species